rnacentral:rRNA from 1 species
CCAGGAUGUUGGCUUAGAAGCAGCCACUCAUUCAAAGAGUGCGUAAUAGCUCACUGGUCGAGUGAUCCUGCGCCGAAGAUUUCCGGGGCUAAAACUUACUACCGAAGCUACGGCAUCAGUAAUGAUGGGUAGGGGAGCUUCCCAUACGGGUUGAAGCAUGACCGUAAGGACAUGUGGACAGUAUGGGAGUGAGAAUGUUGGCAUGAGUAGCGAGAUGUGGGUGAGAAUCCCACAGGCCGUAAACCCAAGGUUUCCAGGGGAAGGUUCGUCCGCCCUGGGUUAGUCGGAACCUAAGCUGAGGCCGAAAGGCGUAGGUGAUGGACAACAGGUUGAUAUUCCUGUACUACCGAUAACCAUUUGAGAGAAGGGAUGACACAGUAGGAUAAGCUAAGCACACUGUUGGUUAUGUGUGCCCAAGCAUUGAGGCAGUCAAAGUAGGCAAAUCCGCUUUGAUAAUGCUGGGAUGUGAUGGGGAGCGAAAUUUAGUAGCGAAGUAGCUGAUUUCACACUGUCAAGAAAAGUCUCUA